UAACUACUGUUGAUAUUUUGAAGUCCACAUAUCCCUAUACAAAUGUCCACAAAAGAUUUCUGAAAUUCACAGAAGUCAUAAUUUCCUCCAUAUACCCAUCACAAGAUUCUCUGCUCCAUGAACUUUUAUAAAGAAGCGCACAACUGAUAAAACAAUUUGUGCAGCAACUCUAACUACUGUUGAUAUUUUGAAGUCCACAUAUCCCUAUACAAAUGUCCACAAAAGAUUUCUGAAAUUCACCAAAGUCCUAACUUCCUCCAUAUAUCCAUCACAAGAUUAUCUACACCAUGAACUUUUAUAAAGAAUCGCACAACUAUUAAGACAGUUUGUGCAGCAACUCAAUAACUACUGUUGAUAUUUUGAAGUCCACAUAUCCCUAAACAAAUGUCCACAAACAGAAAGGUAACAGACCAUGGCUAUGUUAGUUGUGAAAUGUUUAAUGUGAAGACUUUACUUAUAGCACUUUGUUCAAUGAAUGUAAUAUUUUCAGAUAUCUGAAAUGC